ACGGAAGGCAGCAGUGAGGAAUAUUGGUCAAUGGGCGGAAGCCUGAACCAGCCAUCUCGCGUGCAGGACUACGGCCCUACGGGUCUUAAACUGCUUUUAUGGGGGGAUAAAGUCGGGCAUUCGUGUCCGUUUGCAGGUACCCCAUGAAUAAGGAUCGGCUAACUCCGUGCCAGCAGCCGCGGUAAUACGGAGGAUCCGAGCGUUAUCCGGAUUUAUUGGGUUUAAAGGGUGCGCAGGCGGCCCGUUAAGUCAGCGGUGAAAUGUCGGGGCUCAACCCGGGCACUGCCGUUGAAACUGGGGGGCUUGAGUACGGAUGAGGUCGGCGGAAUGUGACGUGUAGCGGUGAAAUGCUUAGAUAUGUCACAGAACACCGAUCGCGAAGGCAGCCUACGAAUGCGUAACUGACGCUCAUGCACGAAAGCGCGGGUAGCGAACAGGAUUAGAUACCCUGGUA
rnacentral:rRNA from 1 species